GCCUGUGUGGCAUGGUGGUUUGAGUGCUGGAAUGUGACUCUGGAGACCAGGGUUUGAGUCCCAGCUCAGCCA